UGGCACCAACCGGCCUCCCCCCACCUGCUGAGCUAUAGGCGUACGGAUUUGAAAAAUAAGUUUUUGUUUUUUUGAUGAGAAUAAUCCAUGUUGAUUAUUUAAAAUUCGGAAAAGCAUAGAAACUGACACAGAAGAACGAAAACCACUUGUUAUCACGCCUCCCAGAGCCAAUCUUUAUUGAGUCAUAAUAGACACACAACGUGUGUGACUGUAUGCACGUUGUGAAAAUGUCACCACACGAGGACAGUUAGCACCUCCACACCUCGCGUCAUGGUGGUGCCGUGACACUUAGGAUCCGCCCUCUCAGUGCCCUUCUGGUCUGUAGCGCAGUGGUAUUUUCUUUUUCUUAAUGUCGGCUAUUGUUUUUUUUAAGUUUGUUCAUUUUGAGAGGGAGAGACAGCACGAGCAGGGGAGGGGCAGAGAGAGAGGGAGGGAGAGAGAGAAGCCCAAGCAGGCUCCUCCCUGUCAUCGUGGAGCUGGAUACGGGGCGAGGACCCACAGACUGCGAGAUCGUGACCCGAGCCGAGGCUGGACGCCCAACCAACUGAGUCACCCAGGCGUCCCUAUAACACGGCAGUAUUAAUUCUAGUCACCAGGCUGUGCCUUAGAUCCUGCGACUUACUCAUUUCAGCCCUGCAAGCGUGAGCUGCCUCCCCGCCCCAGCCCGUGCUGCUGGCAACCACGCUCUAGUCUAGGGCCGGGCGUUCAGCUUUUAGUCUUGCUUUUUUUUAAAGUUUUUAUUUAAAUUCUGGUUGGUUAACACACAGUGUAUUGUUGGUUUCAGGUGUACAAUGUGGCGAUUCAACGUUUCCUUAUGUGGCCCCGGUGCUGAUCACAGGUGAGUGUAACAGGUGUGGAUCCACACGUAAGUGAGCGCAUUGAGUCUGUCUUUCUCUCUGUCGCACUUAGUUCGCCUAACACAUGGCCCUCGACGUCCGUCCGUGUGGUCAUGAAACGGCCACCUCCUUCUUUUUGUGGCUGACUAGGACUCCCUAUGGUGUGUAUGUCCCGUGAUCUGCCCAUCCCGCUCUGGACCCUGGGGUGCGCGCGCAUCUUGGCUGUUGCGACUAUGCCGCCGUGAAUGUGGGGAGGGGGCAGAGUCUCUGAAAUCUGGAUUCCAGUGCCCUCAGGGAAAAAAACCCCACUUCGAGCAUGUAAUAGAAUUUCACUGGCACCCUGGCCUGAUCUGUCUGUCACCCAGUGACAGUGAACAGCCCCGGGAGGAGCCCUCCCACCCACUGGCUGGACUCCAGAUUCUUGCUGUCUGGGGGGCACGGAUAUCACUGACCGAACCAGCACAGAAAGGUGGCAUUGCCAAAAAAGAUCCCCUCCCAGGAUUCAUGGCUUGAAGACGGCACACCUAAGCGAAGAAGAAGAAAAACCAGAGCUGGCUUGUCCCACGCCUGGCGUGAGCUCUCCGUCUGCACGCUAUGAUGCAAAACAGACCACCAACUGAAUCGGACAAGGCGCUCAUCACAGAUUCAGACUUCUUUAGAUCUCCAGGAUGAGAUCUCUCUGACUAGCCCCCAAAUGUAUUUUUAACAGACCGGAUGUUUGUUGUGACGUUGCCUUAAAAUAGACGAGGAAUGUAAACAGUCUAAGCUUCCCUACCUUCCCCUGGCCUGAAUCCUUGAAUUCAAAAAUCCACACUUGCACAAUAUUCAAGAAGACGGAAGUAUGGCAGUGCCCCUACUCCCAUCAUACGUCUCUUCUAAACCCAUUCUGAGCCUUGAGGGAUUAGCUAAUGUUGUACGAAGCCAUCACAAACUGUAAGAUCUUAACAUAUUGUUUGUUUCCUGGGUAUGGAUAUCUUAUAUUUUCUAGGUUGUAAUUUUUGGUGUAUGCUUUGAAAUGUGCAAUUCCCAAAUUGACAAAUAUAUUGUGAGAUUGUCUGCUUAAAA